CCCCGGUUUAAGCGUGUAGGCUGGUUUUCCAGGCAAAUCCGGAAAAUCAAGGCUGAGGCGUGAUGACAAGGCACUACGGUGCUGAAGCAACAAAUGCCCUGCUUCCAGGAAAAGCCUCUAAGCAUCAGGUAACAUCAAAUCGUACCCCAAACCGACACAGGUGGUCAGGUAGAGAAUACCAAGGCGCUUGAGAGAACUCGGGUGAAGGAACUAGGCAAAAUGGUGCCGUAACUUCGGGAGAAGGCACGCUGAUAUGUAGGUGAGGUCCCUCGCGGAUGGAGCUGAAAUCAGUCGAAGAUACCAGCAGGCUGCAACUGUUUAUUAAAAACACAGCACUGUGCAAACACGAAAGUGGACGUAUACGGUGUGACGCCUCCCCGGUGCCGGAAGGUUAAUUGAUGGGGUUAGCGCAAGCGAAGCUCUUGAUCGAAGCCCCGGUAAACGGCGGCCGUAACGAUAACGGUCCUAAGGUAGCGAAAUUCCUUGUCGGGUAAGUUCCGACCUGCACGAAUGGCGUAAUGAUGGCCAGGCUGUCUCCACCCGAGACUCAGUGAAAUUGAACUCGCUGUGAAGAUGCAGUGUACCCGCGGCAAGACGGAAAGACCCCGUGAACCUUUACUAUAGCUUGACACUGACCAUUGAGCCUUGAUGUGUAGGAUAGGUGGGAGGCUUUGAAGUGUGGACGCCAGUCUGCAUGGAGCCGACCUUGAAAUACCACCCUUUAAUGUUUGAUGUUCUAACGUUGACCCGUAAUCCGGGUUGCGGACAGUGUCUGGUGGGUAGUUUGACUGGGGCGGUCUCCUCCUAAAGAGUAACGGAGGAGCACGAAGGUUGGCUAAUCCUGGUCGGACAUCAGGAGGUUAGUGCAAUGGCAUAAGCCAGCUUGACUGCGAGCGUGACGGCGCGAGCAGGUGCGAAAGCAGGUCAUAGUGAUCCGGUGGUUCUGAAUGGAAGGGCCAUCGCUCAACGGAUAAAAGGUACUCCGGGAUAACAGGCUGAUACCGCCCAAGAGUUCAUAUCGACGGCGGUGUUUGGCACCUCGAUGUCGGCUCAUCACAUCCUGGGGCUGAAGUAGGUCCCAAGGGUAUGGCUGUUCGCCAUUUAAAGUGGUACGCGAGCUGGGUUUAGAACGUCGUGAGACAGUUCGGUCCCUAUCUGCCGUGGGCGCUGGAGAACUGAGGGGGGCUGCACCUAGUACGAGAGGACCGGAGUGGACGCAUCACUGGUGUUCGGGUUGUCAUGCCAAUGGCACUGCCCGGUAGCUAAAUGCGGAAGAGAUAAGUGCUGAAAGCAUCUAAGCACGAAACUUGCCCCGAGAUGAGUUCUCCCUGACCCUUUAAGGGUCCUGAAGGAACGUUGAAGACGACGACGUUGAUAGGCCGGGUGUGUAAGCGCAGCGAUGCGUUGAGCUAACCGGUACUAAUGAACCGUGAGGCUUAACCUA
rnacentral:rRNA from 1 species